CUACCAUGGUGGUAACGGGUAACGGGGUGUUAGGGCACGACACCGGAGAGGGAGCCUGAGAAACGGCUACCACAUCCAAGGAAGGCAGCAGGCGCGCAAAUUACCCAAUCCCGCCACGGGGAGGUAGUGACAAUAAAUAACAAUACAGGGUUCUUUUGGAUCUUGUAAUUGGAAUGAGUACAAUUUAAAUCUCUUAACGAGGAACAAUUGGAGGGCAAGUCUGGUGCCAGCAGCCGCGGUAAUUCCAGCUCCAAUAGCGUAUAUUAAAGUUGUUGCAGUUAAAAAGCUCGUAGUUGAAUUUCGGGAUCAAUAUUUCGGUCAUGCCGUUGGUAUGCACUGUUAUCAUUGAUUUCUCACCUUCUAAAGAACCAUAAUGCCAUUAAUUUGGUGUUACGGGGAAUUAGGACUGUUACCUUGAAAAAAUUAGAGUGUUUAAAGCAGGCUCACGCUUGAAUACAUUAGCAUGGAAUAAUGAAAUAGGACAUCCGAUUCUAUUUUGUUGGUUUCUAGGAUCGAUGUAAUGAUUAAUAGGGAUAGUUGGGGGCAUUAGUAUUCAAUUGUCAGAGGUGAAAUUCUUGGAUUUAUUGAAGACUAACUACUGCGAAAGCAUUUGCCAAGGAUGUUUUCAUUAAUCAAGAACGAAAGUUAGGGGAUCGAAGACGAUCAGAUACCGUCGUAGUCUUAACCAUAAACUAUGCCGACUAGGGAUCGGAUGAUGUUAAUUUUUUAAUGACUCAUUCGGCGCCUUAC
rnacentral:rRNA from 1 species